AAACUAAGCCACUAAGCCACAAAGCCAAGAGCUAGGGUUUCAGAGUCUUGAUUAAUUUGGUGAUCAAACCCUAGAUCAUGAAUUAAUUUGUGAUCAGGAAGAUGGGUUUGCCAAGAAACUUAGUGAAAUGACUGUUGAGGGUUUACGCGAUGAAGAUGAGGGUUCUGAGUUGGUGCUUGCUAUCGAAACAAAGAGGAUUUUGAUAAAGUUGGGGGCUUUGGGGAGGGAAGUCGGGGUGAGAAUGAUCAAGGUGGUUUGGGGCUAUUUAGAGAUGGUGAUGAGUUUGGGAGUAAGUUGUGUGAUGAGAAUGAGAAUCGAGUCGGUUAUCGUGAUUGGAAAGGUUUUAUUAAUCAUGAGGCGAAAUUCGAAGAGAGAAAAAUUGAAAAGUUAGGCGGUGUGGAAGGAAAUGAAGGUGAUUAUAAGGAAAUGAAGGAAGGGGGUAAAGAUAAGGAUGGGAGUAAGUGGAGUGAGAUUGAGAAUGAAGGCGGUGAUGGUGAAUUGGAGGGUAUUAAAAAUGAGGCGGAAAUUAAAGAGAGAAACCCCGAAAAGCGUAUUGUGGUGGAAGGAAAUGAAGGAGACUUUAAAGAGAUGAAGGAACGGGAGGAUAACAAGGGGAGUAAGUGAGGUGAGAUUGAGAAUGUAGACGGUGAUCUUGAUUUGGAGGGCAUUAAAGAUGAGGCGGAAAUUGAAGAGAGAAACCUUGAAAAGAAGGGGAAAAAGGUGCUUUUAAGGAAAUAAAGGACGGGGAUAAUGAUGAGGGGAGUAAUAGGAGUGAGUUUGGGAAUGAAGGCAGUGAUUGUGAUUUGAAGGGUAUUGAAGAUGAAAUGGCAAUCGAAGAGAGAAACCCUGAAAAUCGUAGUGUUGUGGAAGGAAAUGAGAUUGGGAAUGAAGGCGGUGAUUGUGAUUUGAAGGGAAAAGAAGUCAUUGAGAACUAUGAAGAUGGUUCGGGUGUGAAUUGGGAUGAUGUCUUUGAGGACUAUGAAGAUGGUUGGGGUGUGAAUCGGGAUGAUGUCAUUGAGGACUAUGAAGAUGGUUGGGGUUAGAAUUGGGAUUAUGUCAUUGAGGUUUCUGAAGAUGGUUUGGGUGAGAAUUGGGAUGACGGUGGUGUAAGAGCUAAAGCUAAUUAAUCAUCCACUUGAGAGGAAAAACCAGGCUGCUAGGGAUACAUUUAAGCAAAAGGAGGAAUUUUAUGAUAAUGCGAACUUUUUGCAGGCUGCAAGGGAUACAUUCAAGCGAAAGGAGGAAACUUAUGAUAAGGCUUGACAAACAGAAUGCAAGUAUUACUUGUUACCAGGUGGUUGAAAAAAAGGAAAAGCUUGUAGGUAUAGUCAUGACAAAGGAAAAGUUGCAGUGACCCCAAAUUUAGAGUUGAACUUUAUUUGGUUUGCUGAUUAGAGUGGGGGAGAAAGAAUGUUCUUUCUUCAUGAAAACCAGUUGAUGCAAGUAUGGGGAAUACUGCAAGUUUCAUCAUCCGGAUUCUACAGCAGCGGGAGGAGGUUACACUACUUCACCAGGUAGAGGUAGGUCAACAGCAAGUGAUACAAAUGAGAGUGCUCCCUUCAGACCAGUUAUCUUUCUGCCAGAAAAUGCAGAAUGGAACGGAUAUCAGGCUCCUGCAUAAGGAAGAUCACAAGGGAUUCUGCCUGUUCCCCCAGCACUUGCGAUGACUAUUCUAGCAACUAGAUCCAGCUUUGAUGCACAUCCACAGGGCCAGGUGAAUGUAAACAAAUAUCCUGAACGACCUGGACUGCCCGAGUUCAGUUUCUACAUGAGAACGGGGGAUUGUAAGUUCAAAUCUUCUUGCAGGUUCCACCAACCCAGAAACCCGGAGUCGGCUCUCAGUGACCAAGGACUGCCUCUGCCACCUGUUGAGGUCUACAAGACUUUGAUGGAUGUUGUGAUGAUUUCGUGGUAUCAAGACUAUGGUUGCGGGAUAAUCUUUAUUACGGUGCCAAACUAAGUCCAACAUUAAAGAGGAAGCGUAUGGAUUAUCCUGAGCCAACCAAAAGAGACAAGUAUUUUUGAGUGUUCAUGUUCAGCUUCUCAGAAGUCAUGGUUCACGAAGAAUUAACGCGAUGUUUGCUUCAUCAACGCACUUUUGGCACAUCCAGUUUCUGUUUAACUUCUAUAGCAUGCUGAACACAGAAGACAUCCCAUCGAGAGGAUUCCUCAU